rnacentral:rRNA from 1 species
GAGACUCUGUGCGCGUGCAUAUCAAUAAGCGGAGGAAAAGAAACUAACAAGGAUUCCCCUAGUAACGGCGAGUGAAGCGGGAAGAGCUCAAAUUUGAAAUCUUAAAGGGUUUCCCUUUACGAAUUGUAGUUUAAAGAAGUGUUUUCUGUUGGAGUUUCGGUAAAAGUUCUUUGGAAUAGGACAUCAUAGAGGGUGAGAAUCCCGUAUUUGACCGUUACUUUCCAGCUGUGUGAUACACUUUCAAAGAGUCGGAUUGUUUGGGAAUGCAGUCCAAAAUGGGUGGUAAAUUUCAUCUAAAGCUAAAUAUUGGCGAGAGACCGAUAGCGAACAAGUACCGUGAGGGAAAGAUGAAAAGAACUUUGAAAAGAGAGUUAAACAGUACGUGAAAUUGUCAAAAGGGAAGCGUUUGACACCAGUGUUGUUUAGUUGAAAAUCAAUUCAAUAAUUUUUGAUUUUGAGUAGUAUUGACUUCAUCAGCUUGCUGCUUUCUUUUCGGAAAUUAUUGAAUGCACUUUUCAGUUAACAAGUCAACAUCAAUUUCUUUUGUUGUAAAAGGGUAAGAGGAAGGUGGCUUACGCUUCGGCGUAAGUGUUUAUAGCCUUUUACCUCUGCAAUCGGAGAGAUUGAGGUCAGCAGCGUAGACUCCUUCGGGGUUAGAUACACUUGUGCUAAGCUAUAGCCUUGUAUAGACAACUUGUUGACUAUGCUCAGUCAUGUAGCUUACUCGCUUAUGCUAUUUUACCUACGCUUAGGAUGUUGAACUCUAUCACACACAG